GAUGAACGCUGGCGGCGUGCCUAAUACAUGCGAGUCGAGCGAACGGACGCGACGCUUGCUUCUCUGAUGUUAGCGGCGGACGGGUGAGUCACACGUGGCUAACCUACCUCUCAGACUGGGAUCCUUCGGGCUACCGUAGCUAAUACCGGAUAAUAUUUUGAACAGCAUGGUUCAUAAGUGAAAGUCGGUCUUGUUGUUACUUAUAGAUGGUUUCGCGCUGCAUUAGCUAGUUGGUAAGGUAACGGCUUACACAGGCAACGAUGCAUAGCCGACCGGAGAGGGGGAUCGGCCGCACUGGAGCGGAGCCACGGUCCAGACUCCUACGAGAGGCAGCAGUAGGGAAUCGGACGCAAUGGGCGAAAGCCUGACGGAGCAACGCCGCGUGAGUGAUGGAGGUCUUCGGAUCGGAAAACUCUGUUAUUGGGGAAAAACAUAUUUGUAAGUAACUGUGCACAACUUGACGGUACCUAAUCAGAAAGCCACGGCUAACUACGUG
rnacentral:rRNA from 1 species